UUAACACAUGCAAGUCGAGGGGCAGCACAGGUAGCAAUACCGGGUGGCGACCGGCGCACGGGUGAGUAACGCGUAUGCAACUUGCCUAUCAGAGGGGGAUAACCCGGCGAAAGUCGGACUAAUACCGCAUGAAGCAGGGGCCCCGCAUGGGGAUAUUUGCUAAAGAUUCAUCGCUGAUAGAUAGGCAUGCGUUCCAUUAGGCAGUUGGCGGGGUAACGGCCCACCAAACCGACGAUGGAUAGGGGUUCUGAGAGGAAGGUCCCCCACAUUGGUACUGAGACACGGACCAAACUCCUACGGGAGGCAGCAGUGAGGAAUAUUGGUCAACGGCCGAGAGGCUGAACCAGCCAAGUCGCGUGAGGGAUGAAGGUUCUAUGGAUCGUAAACCUCUUUUAUAAGGGAAUAAAGUGCGGGACGUGUCCCGUUUUGUAUGUACCUUAUGAAUAAGGAUCGGCUAACUCCGUGCCAGCAGCCGCGGUAAUACGGAGGAUCCGAGCGUUAUCCGGAUUUAUUGGGUUUAAAGGGUGCGUAGGCGGCCUUUUAAGUCAGCGGUGAAAGUCUGUGGCUCAACCAUAGAAUUGCCGUUGAAACUGGGGGGCUUGAGUAUGUUUGAGGCAGGCGGAAUGCGUGGUGUAGCGGUGAAAUGCAUAGAUAUCACGCAGAACCCCGAUUGCGAAGGCAGCCUGCCAAGCCAUUACUGACGCUGAUGCACGAAAGCGUGGGGAUCAAACAGGAUUAGAUACCCUGGUAGUCCACGCAGUAAACGAUGAUCACUAGCUGUUUGCGAUACACUGUAAGCGGCACAGCGAAAGCGUUAAGUGAUCCACCUGGGGAGUACGCCGGCAACGGUGAAACUCAAAGGAAUUGACGGGGGCCCGCACAAGCGGAGGAACAUGUGGUUUAAUUCGAUGAUACGCGAGGAACCUUACCCGGGUUUGAACGCAUUCGGACCGAGGUGGAAACACCUUUUCUAGCAAUAGCCGUUUGCGAGGUGCUGCAUGGUUGUCGUCAGCUCGUGCCGUGAGGUGUCGGCUUAAGUGCCAUAACGAGCGCAACCCUUGCCACUAGUUACUAACAGGUUAGGCUGAGGACUCUGGUGGGACUGCCAGCGUAAGCUGCGAGGAAGGCGGGGAUGACGUCAAAUCAGCACGGCCCUUACAUCCGGGGCGACACACGCGUUACAAUGGCGUGGACAAAGGGAUGCCACCUGGCGACAGGGAGCGAAUCCCCAAACCACGUCUCAGUUCGGAUCGGAGUCUGCAACCCGACUCCGUGAAGCUGGAUUCGCUAGUAAUCGCGCAUCAGCCAUGGCGCGGUGAAUACGUUCCCGGGCCUUGUACACACCGCCCGUCAAGCCAUGGGAGCCGGGGGUACCUGAAGUCCGUAACCGAAAGGAUCGGCCUAGGGUAAAACUGGUGACUGGGGC
rnacentral:rRNA from 1 species